rnacentral:rRNA from 1 species
AGUCGAACGGCAGCACGGACUUCGGUCUGGUGGCGAGUGGCGAACGGGUGAGUAAUGUAUCGGAACGUGCCUAGUAGCGGGGGAUAAUCACGCGAAAGCGUAGCUAAUACCGCAUACGCCCUUCGGGGGAAAGCGGGGACCUUCGGGCCUCGCACUAUUAGAGCGGGCCGAUAUCGGACACAUGGUGGGGUAACGGCUCACCAAGGCGACGAUCCGUAGCUGGUUUGAGAGGACGACCAGCCACACUGGGACUGAGACACGGCCCAGACUCCUACGGGAGGCAGCAGUGGGAAUUUUGGACAAUGGGGGGAAACCCUGAUCCAGCCAUCCCGCGUGUGCGAUGAAGGCCUUCGGGUUGUAAAGCACUUUUGGCAGGAAGAAACGGCACGGAUAAUACCCCGUGCAACUGACGGUACCUGCAGAAUAAGCACCGUGGCUAACUACGUGCCAGCAGCCGCGGUAAUACGUAGGGUGCAAGCGUUAAUCGGAAUUACUGGGCGUAGCGUGUGCAGGCGGUUCGGAAAGAAAGAUGUGAAAUCCCAGAGCUUAACUUUGGAACUGCAUUUUUAACUACCGAGCUAGAGUGUGUCAGAGGGAGGUGGAAUUCGGGGCGUGUAGCAGUGAAAUGCGUAGAUAUGCGGAGGAACACCGAUGGCGAAGGCAGCCUCCUGGGAUAACACUGACGCUCAUGCACGAGCGUGGGGAGCAAACAGGAUUAGAUACCCUGGUAGUCCACGCCCUAAACGAUGCCAACCAGCUGUUGGGGCCUUCGGGCCUUGGUAGCGCAGCUAACGCGUGAAGUUGACCGCCUGGGGGAGUACGGUCGCAAGAUUAAAACUCAAAGGAAUUGACGGGGACCCGCACAAGCGGUGGAUGAUGUGGAUUAAUUGAUGCAACGCGAAAAACCUUACCUACCCUUGACAUGUCUGAAUCCUGAAGAGAUUUGGGAGUGCUCGCAAGAGAACCGGAACACAGGUGCUGCAUGGCUGUCGUCAGCUCUCGUGUCGUGAGAUGUUGGGCUAAGUCCCGCAACGAGCGCAACCCUUGUCAUUAGUUGCUACGAAAGGGCACUCUAAUGAGACUGCCGGUGACAAACCGGAGGAAGGUGGGGAUGACGUCAAGUCCUCAUGGCCCUUAUGGGUAGGGCUUCACACGUCAUACAAUGGUCGGGACAGAGGGUCGCCAACCCGCGAGGGGGAGCCAAUCCCAGAAACCCGGAUCGUAGUCCGGAUCGCAGUCUGCAACUCGACUGCGUGAAGUCGGAAUCGCUAGUAAUCGCGGAUCAGCAUGUCGCGGUGAAUACGUUCCCGGGUCUUGUACACACCGCCCAACAAGCACCAUGGAGUGGGUUUUACCAGAAGUAGUUAGCCUAACCGUAAGGAGGGCGAUUACCAAUGGGGAUUCAUGAUCGGGGUGAGGUCGUAACAGCGUAG